rnacentral:rRNA from 1 species
GUCCCACGGGAGGCAGCAGUGAGGAAUAUUGGUCAAUGGGCUAAGGCCUGAACCAGCCAAGUCGCGUGAGGGAAGACGGUCCUAUGGAUUGUAAACCUCUUUUGUCGGGGAGCAACGAGGCCACGUGUGGCCGAAGUGAGAGUACCCGAAGAAAAAGCAUCGGCUAACUCCGUGCCAGCAGCCGCGGUAAUACGGAGGAUGCGAGCGUUAUCCGGAUUUAUUGGGUUUAAAGGGUGCGUAGGCGGAAUGCCAAGUCAGCGUUAAAAUCGCGGGGCUCAACCUCGCUCCGCCGUUGAAACUCGUGU